AGAUGAUGGCUGCUAUGACAACGGCCUUCAGUGAUUCAGAGGGAGAUGUCUUAGAGAUAUCUGAUGAGGUAUCUACUUCUUUUCAGUAGUAGAUUUUAGAUUCUGCAUGCACUCAUCGUGUAUGUUGCAAAAAGAAGCAGUUUGACUCUCUGGAGAACAGUGAGGGCACUGUUUAUCUGCCGGAUGGAUCGAGCUGUGUGAUCAGAGGUAUCGAGAUGGUCAGUUGGAGGACACAUGAUGGUGCAGUGAGGAGAUUGAGAGAGGUCUGAUACAUAUAUGAUUUCAGAUAGAAUAUUAUCUCACUAAGCGGACUGAAUUCGAGAGACUACAAAAUGGUAGCUGGUGAAGGAAUCCUGAAGGUGCUACAUGACGAUAGGAUUGCUCCGAAGGGAAAGAAGGGGAAGAGAGGAUAUUAUUAUCUGACGGAGAGUCUAGUGUGAGAUGGAGCUUCAGGAGCCAGACGGAGCCCAGAGUGAAGUGGAGCUCCAGGUGGAGGUGGAUCGGGUAUGAGAGAGGAGACUCAGAAGGACGAGAGGCGAUGUCGCAAGGUGAGAUUCCUAUUACCGCAGCAUGAUGCCCCA
rnacentral:lncRNA from 1 species